CCUACGGGAGGCAGCAGUGGGGAAUAUUGGACAAUGGGCGAAAGCCUGAUCCAGCAACGCCGCGUGAGGGAUGACGGCCUUCGGGUUGUAAACCUCUUUCAGCAGGGACGCGGUACCUGCAGAAGAAGGACCGGCCAACUACGUGCCAGCAGCCGCGGUAAUACGUAGGGUCCGAGCGUUGUCCGGAAUUAUUGGGCGUAAAGGGCUCGUAGGCGGUUUGUUACGUCGGGAGUGAAAACUCAGGGCUCAACCCUGAGCGUGCUUCCGAUACGGGCAGACUAGAGGUAUUCAGGGGAGAACGGAAUUCCUGGUGUAGCGGUGGAAUGCGCAGAUAUCAGGAGGAACACCGGUGGCGAAGGCGGUUCUCUGGGAAUUCCUGACGCUGAGGAGCGAAAGCAUGGGGAGCGAACAGGAUUAGAUACCCUUGUAGUC
rnacentral:rRNA from 1 species